rnacentral:ribozyme from 11 species
GAAAAAGAAAAAAGUGGAACAAGAGCCCGGUUUGUCUUUCUUCUGCUUGACUAUUCUUUUUCCCGCGGGGGGUUUCUGUUUCUCUCUCCCUCUCUCUUUCACGAAAG